UCUACCCAUAGUUCAUAUGAAAACAUCUGACUGAGUGUGCGCUGUGGAUUAACAAGAGCUAUAGGGGUAGGAACCGUUCUCUUAAUACAUCCAUGGUAGGAACACAGUUUGUGAAAAGAGGGUGAAGAGCAGAAAGCAGCAGUCAACCACUGACACUAUGGGCACAGAGGGAAGCGCUGCAGCCGGCAUCAGUGUGGAGUCCAUACAUGCACUGUCAUAGUAUCAUGCACUUGGAGGACAGAGUAUGCUGAGAGCUGGGAGGAAAGGGAAGGGC